rnacentral:rRNA from 1 species
CGACUCUCGGCAACGGAUAUCUCGGCUCUCGCAUCGAUGAAGAACGUAGCGAACUGCGAUACUUGGUGUGAAUUGCAGAAUCCCGUGAACCAUCGAGUCUUUGAACGCAAGUUGCGCCCGAAUCCANUGGACGAGGGCACGUUUGCCUGGGUGUCACAC